rnacentral:rRNA from 1 species
UACAGAGGGUGCAAGCGUUGUUCGGAAUUACUGGGCGUAAAGCGCGUGUAGGUGGCGAUGUAAGUCGGGUGUGAAAUCCCUCAGCUUAACUGAGGAAGUGCACUCGAUACUGUGUCGCUUGAGUGUUGGAGGGGAUGGCGGAAUUCCCGGUGUAGAGGUGAAAUUCGUAGAUAUUCGCAAGAACACCAGUGGCGAAGGCGGCUCACUGGCCCGAUACUGACGCUGAGGCACGAAAGCGUGGGGAGCAAACAGG